UAAUACAUGCAAGUCGAGCGGACCGACGGGAGCUUGCUCCCUUAGGUCAGCGGCGGACGGGUGAGUAACACGUGGGUAACCUGCCUGUAAGACUGGGAUAACUCCGGGAAACCGGGGCUAAUACCGGAUGCUUGAUUGAACCGCAUGGUUCAAUCAUAAAAGGUGGCUUUUAGCUACCACUUGCAGAUGGACCCGCGGCGCAAUAGCUAGUUGGUGAGGUAACGGCUCACCAAGGCGACGAUGCGUAGCCCACCUGAGAGGGUGAUCGGCCACACUGGGACUGAAACACGGCCCAGACUCCUACGGGAGGCAGCAGUAGGGAAUCUUCCGCAAUGGACGAAAGUCUGACGGAACAACGCCCCGUGAGUGAUGAAGGUUUUCGGAUCGUAAAACUCUGUUGUUAGGGAAGAACAAGUACCGUUCGAAUAGGGCGGUACCUUGACGGUACCUAACCAGAAAGCCACGGCUAACUACGUGCCAGCAGCCGCGGUAAUACGUAGGUGGCAAGCGUUGUCCGGAAUUAUUGGGCGUAAAGCGCGCGCAGGCGGUUUCUUAAGUCUGAUGUGAAAGCCCCCGGCUCAACCGGGGAGGGUCAUUGGAAACUGGGGAACUUGAGUGCAGAAGAAGAGAGUGGAAUUCCACGUGUAGCGGUGAAAUGCGUAGAGAUGUGGAGGAACACCAGUGGCGAAAGCGACUCUCUGGUCUGUAACUGACGCUGAGGCGCGAAAGCGUGGGGAGCGAACAGGAUUAGAUACCCUGGUAGUCCACGCCGUAAACGAUGAGUGCUAAGUGGUUAGAGGGUUUCCGCCCUUUAGUGCUGCAGCAAACGCAUUAAGCACUCCGCCUGGGGGAGUACGGUCGCAAGACUGAAACUCAAAGGAAUUGACGGGGGCCCGCACAAGCGGUGGAACCAGUGGUUUAAUUCGAAGCAACGCGAAAAACCUUACCAGGUCUUGACAUCCUCUGACAACCCUAGAGAAUAGGGCUUCCCCUUCCGGGGCAAAAUGACAAGUGGUGGCAAGGGUGUCGUCCACUCCCGGCCCGGGAAAGUUUGGGGUUAAUUCCCCCCCCCAACGCCACCCCUUGAUUUUUAUUGUCCGCCUUUCCUUUUGGGGCCCCUAAGGGGACCCGCCGGGCCACCCCCGAAAAGGGGGGGGGUGUUUUCUUU
rnacentral:rRNA from 1 species